UUCAGGGAAAUAGGAGAAGUCCCAACGACACAUCAUUCAGGGAAAUAGGAGAAGUCCCAACGACAAAUCAUUCACUAGGGAAAUAGGAGAAGUACCAACGACAAAUCAUUCACUAGGGAAAUAGGAGGUCACAUCAUCCAAUAACAAAUCAUCCAAUAACUGACAAGGAGAUUUAGUCAUCAUACUAAACUGAGAUCCGGUUCUUCUGAUUGGGUAGAUGUCGGGAACAAAAUAUAACUGAUUAUUCACCUUAUUCUGGAAGGUCACAGUGAUCCGGCAA
rnacentral:lncRNA from 13 species